rnacentral:lncRNA from 1 species
UUCUUUCUUUUUUUUCUUUUCAUGAUAGAUGUAAUUAUUUUGUUUUUAAAUAGAAGUAUAUAUAUAUUUCAAGGAAAAAAAUGGUUAUACAAUAAAAGAUUCUUUUUGCAGGUUUUUCUUUUCAUUUUUACUUAUGUUACUGAUAAGCCUUCUAUUUUUCACUCGUUCCACGAAUUAAAAAGCAUGCAACCAAUAAUAUUUAGUAUGACAGUUUUGGUCCUGCAAUAUAUUUAGAAUGAAAUAUACAUAUCUUAUUGCAUUUUUAUUAUCCUGCAAGUUGAAAGUGAAAAUUGCGAGUCUCAAGACUGUCG